rnacentral:rRNA from 1 species
UACGUAGGGACCAAGCGUUGUUCGGAUUUACUGGGCGUAAAGGGCGCGUAGGCGGCAAUUCAAGUCAUCUGUGAAAUCUCCGGGCUUAACUCGGAACGGUCAGAUGAUACUGCUUUGCUAGAGUGCAGAAGGGGCAAUCGGAAUUCUCGGUGUAGCGGUGAAAUGCGUAGAUAUCGAGAGGAACACCUGAGGUGAAGACGGGUUGCUGGGCUGACACUGACGCUGAAGCGCGAAAGCCAGGGGAGCAAACGGG